AUGCAUGAACAUUGAUGGAAGCUACACUUCAUAAUGAAAUCUCAAUGUGAAUUCCAUAACAGAACCCAGACAACAUAAACAGUAACAAAGGAGCAAAGACUAACAAUAUUGACAUAAUCUCAGUUAAAACAGUUCAAACUCUUUGAUUUCUACGGUAUUUUGAAGCUAUACAACCUAUUGAUAACAUAAUGUAGUCAGAAAUACACUAUUAAGGUGGCAAGAGGACCAUAAACAAAUCUGAUGUACUACUCCCUUCAAAUGACUUGUUAUUUCAGUAGUACGGUCUGUACCUCACAGAACUGCUGAAAAUUCAUCUACUUGGACACUUGUUCACCCUGCCAAACAAACAAGCAAAAGAACAAGUCCAAGUUGAGAUAGAAAAGAUAAAUGAACACGAAAGAUACAAGAUUGGUUCGAAUCAAGUAGCACAUUCUUCAGAUUAUAUGUACCACUAUCUUAUAGCUCAGAUUAUAGACAAGUAAACACCAUCCCAAUCAGGCAACCAACAACCAAUCGAACAACUCAACUAUAUAUUAAUUGCUAGUGUGCACUGUAGUCGGCAGUAGAAUGCCCCAGAAUUCGAAGUAGAUGAGACUCACCUCUCUGACGAACCAACACAGCAGCUCGCACUCGGUGAUCCAUUACCCUGCCUACACCAAGGACACCUCCACCGGCUCAGUGAAGGGCUCCCUUGCCACCGGAAAGCAACAGUGCUGGAGACAAAAUCCAAGCGAUGAUAGAGAUGUGAAAAUGGGUGGCAUGUUGAGAUCGAACCAGUAUGGUAAGUGACUAUUUCAUCAGAGACAGAUGGAAAUCGUACCACCCACAACAACUUGUCACCUAACAAUGCAUAUCCAUGGACAAUUUCUGUGGGAAAAUCAAAAUAACACACACCAAAGUACCAAAGUACAAAGUGAUUAAGUGAGAAUCCUAAAUAUUCCAAUGAGAAAGAACAUAAAGGGGACCAGUACCUGAAAUAUUGUGCAAUCAUAUCCAGAGCAGGUGAAGAAACACACAACAUACUAAUGAAUCCAAACCCUUAAAACCAUAUAGAUUUUUCUUUGUGCUAAUAUUCUGCAUCUGCAAGUCCUUCACUACCAAUGGUAAUAAUUACACUUGUCAGCAUAAUAUAUAAGACAAAGAUACUAUUGUUCUCUUAAGAGAUAUAGAUAACCGAAAUAUAUGUAUAUAGGUAACAUACUUUGACGUACAAUAAAUAAGAAAAAGAUAGUAUUGUUCUCUUAAGACAAACCAUUUGAUCCCAUUGCUUCCAAGUCGCAAAUCUUUACUCGUUCUGUAGUUUUCUUGUUAGCAUUUAUGUCGUGAACAAAGCUUCUUUAUCCAACUACCAAAUCUGAAUGUUGCUGCAAAACGGUAUACAGAAAUUAAAUGCAAAGUGCACUUAGUGAAUUUGUUGGAAGAUCCAUACUGAUACAACUUCCUGACAUACAUCAAUAGUACCAUCAGACACUCAUCUCCUGAGCCCUGACAGCUUUAGAAUCGUAAUGCAUUUUUGCUGCAUCAUUACCUUUUCUAUCACCAUCAACAGAUAGGCAGACCUGAAAGGUUUAAUGAUUGUCAAAAUUAUCACCCAAGAAUUAGAUUUCUGUAAAUGGAAGAAUAUCUAAAGAACAUCCGGGUGGGAACAUGGAAGAUAGAGAUCUACAAUGUCGCAUGUUCAAGUUUCUUAAUAACCAUAGUAUUAUGCUAUUCAAUUAAACAAAGGGAAAAGAAUAUGCUCUAGAUAGUAUUAAGCUAGCAGUAAGGUAGACCCAACUGGAUCUAAGCAAUCAUAUUGGAUCAAUAAAUGGGUUUUGAUGGACUAAUGAUGCAUUUUAGGUAAGUAUCCAGGCAUCAUGUGGCCAUAAGAAACUUUAUAUAGAUGUCAAGUGCAUGUCAUGCUUCUCAAGAUAUAAGGGAAUUUUUCAAUCAAUCUAAUGGAGUUGCAGAAUCUUCUUCACUUCGCGGGAUCUGAAGAACACAUAGGAACAUGAAAAAUAGAGUAAUAUAUAUCCUGACAUUUGGAAUCGUACAUGAACCAGGAAAAACAAAUAAACUUUCUAUCGAGUUAUGACACUAAAACAUGCUAGAAAUUCUAUUGAAUCGCGGUGUUGGCGAAUAGUCAAGAAGAAUUUAGGAGUGGUUACUCCUCUGAAUCAAAAGUACUCUAGAAAAACGUCUAUAGGUUGGAAUCCUACAAAUUGCUUUAAAAUUCAUUUAAACCAAAGAAGCACAUAGUGUAGGAAAACAAUCCACACAAUUUUGGGGAAUUCAUCCCUUUGAACUAAAUGGUUUCGAGAAUUUCGUAUGGAUUGGAAUCUUACAAAAAUUCUUUGACCAAAGGGCACGCUGGUUCCAUACCUCUUCCUCAAGCAUACUUUUCGCCGCUGCUUUCACAUAGGUUUUCGACUAUUCAACUUCUAUUCAUACUAUGAACAAAAACAUCGCAUUCCUACAGAAAAUGCAUCAGCAACCAUGAACCAAGCCUUGGGUGCAACCAUAUAAGCAAUAUAUAGAAAUUGGCAAAACACGUCAAAAUGCAAGAAAGUGACUGUAUUUUCACAAAGUUCUUCCUCAAAAUUCUUCCUCUUCUUUAUCAGAUCUGCAGGCGUUGUGUUUAGAAAAAACAUAAAUUGAGAAAUUAGAAUAAAAUCAUCACAGAGAACCGUGUAGUAAAAACUGAAAGAAAGAUGAUGGGAUUGGGGACACUCCUCAAACUUUAUGUUGUAGUUCUAUGACUAUAUCCGAGUCUUUUGCCUUUUUUCAAACUACACCACAAAUUACUUUCUAGAAAACUGAAUCUGGCAAGAAAAUUCAAUUUUAUUUUUAGUUUGGAGGCCCUGCAGUUUGCAGAUUGGACAUUAGAGAGCAGUAUGAGUUGAAACAAAAAUGAAGUACCUGAUCUGUUGUGGCCUUAGUUUCAACAUAUUCUCACUUAACUCUCGCACUCUGGGUAUUGCUCCUCCUACGACACAAAAUGGCUGCAUAAGAACACAUGAGUUCAUGUAGGAUAGAGUUGUGUUCUGGUAUUGGUUAGUUCAACAAAAAAUAAGAUAGUAACAGAGGGCAUCAAACUGAUUUGCAUAGUUAUAGCUACCUCUGCACAAAUAUAAUUCUUGCAUCAUGUGCAUCGCAGUUACCUUGAACAACAACAACAAUAAUAAUUCUCCCUGUCAUCAAAC
rnacentral:lncRNA from 1 species